rnacentral:rRNA from 1 species
AUUGAACGCUGGCGGCAGGCCUAACACAUGCAAGUCGAGCGGAUGAGGGAAGCUUGCUUCCCGAUUUAGCGGCAGACGGGUGAGUAAUGCCUAGGAAUCUGCCUAUUAGUGGGGGAUAACGUUCCGAAAGGAACGCUAAUACCGCAUACGUCCUACGGGAGAAAGUGGGGGAUCUUCGGACCUCACGCUAAUAGAUGAGCCUAGGUCGGAUUAGCUAGUUGGUGGGGUAACGGCUCACCAAGGCGACGAUCCGUAGCUGGUCUGAGAGGAUGAUCAGCCACACUGGAACUGAGACACGGUCCAGACUCCUACGGGAGGCAGCAGUGGGGAAUAUUGGACAAUGGGCGAAAGCCUGAUCCAGCCAUGCCGCGUGUGUGAAGAAGGUCUUCGGAUUGUAAAGCACUUUAAGUUGGGAGGAAGAGUUGUAAGCUAAUAUCUUGCAGCUUUGACGUUACCAACAGAAUAAGCACCGGCUAACUCUGUGCCAGCCGCCGCCGUAAUAC